GGGGGUAUAGCCCAGACGGUAUCCAUGCAAGUGUAUACUCGGGCAGCCAGGCAGGGCGACAGGCUCCAGACCUGUAGACCGUCGGUUCAAAUCCGACUACCCCCACCA
rnacentral:tRNA from 1 species